rnacentral:rRNA from 1 species
UACGAAGGGGGCUAGCGUUGCUCGGAAUUACUGGGCGUAAAGGGUGCGUAGGCGGGUCUUUAAGUCAGGGGUGAAAUCCUGGAGCUCAACUCCAGAACUGCCUUUGAUACUGAAGAUCUUGAGUCCGGGAGAGGUGAGUGGAACUGCGAGUGUAGAGGUGAAAUUCGUAGAUAUUCGCAAGAACACCAGUGGCGAAGGCGGCUCACUGGCCCGGUACUGACGCUGAGGUGGCGAAAGCGUGGGGAGCAAACAGG